rnacentral:rRNA from 1 species
AUUGAACGCUGGCGGCAGGCCUAACACAUGCAAGUCGAGCGGAGCGGCGGACGGGCGAGUAAUGCCUAGGAAUCUGCCUGGUAGUGGGGGAUAACGUCCGGAAACGGGCGCUAAUACCGCAUAUUAUCAGAUGAGCUUAGGUCGGAUUAGCUAGAUGGGGGGGUAAAGGCCUACCAAGGCGACGAUCCGUAACUGGUCUGAGAGGAUGAUCAGUCAUACUGGAACGAAGACACGGUCCAGACUCCUACAGGAGGCAGCAGUGGGGAAUAUUUGACAGUGGGCGAAAGCCUGAUCCAGCCAUGCCGCGUGUGUGAAGAAGGUCUUCGGAUUGUAAAGCACUUUAAGUUGGGAGGCGUUACCUACAGAAUAAGCACCGGCUAACUUCGUGCCAGCAGCCGCGGUAAUAC